rnacentral:lncRNA from 1 species
UGACCCCCUAUUUUUUUUACUGAAAAAUUUUUUGACUCCUCAUCCUAACUAUUAAUAAUCCACACGGUGUCGUUUCCGUAGCGUUUCAGGGCCGUAGAAAGCUAUUUUUGACUGGGGAGGGGCUGAAAGCGAGGGCCGAAGGCCCGAGGAAAUUUUUAAAUCUAGAGUUUCUGAAAUGCCAUUUCCUGGAAUUUGGGGAAGAUUUGACAGAAUUCUGAUGGUAAUAAAACACCGUUUUAGUAUGUCGAAAUUGACAAUUUGGUAGUACUAAAUGGGCGAACACGUAUUUAAUUAACUAUAUAUUGGAUAACUAGGAUAA